rnacentral:rRNA from 1 species
AUUGAACGCUGGCGGCAGGCCUAACACAUGCAAGUCGAGCGAGCGGCGGACGGGUGAGUAAUGCCUAGGAAUCUGCCUGGUAGUGGGGGAUAACGUCCGGAAACGGUAGCUAAUACCGCAUACCAUCAGAUGUGCCCAGAUGGGAUUAGCUUGUUGGUGGGGUAACGGCUCACCAAGGCGACGAUCCCUAGCUGGUCUGAGAGGAUGACCAGCCAAACUGGAACUGAGACACGGUCCAGACUCCUACGGGAGUAAGCAGGGGGGAAUAUUGCACAAUGGGCGCAAGCCGGAUGCAGCCAGGCCGCGUGGAGGAAGAAGGCCUUGGGGUUGGAAAGUAAGUUAAGCGGGGAGGCGUUACCCGCAGAGGAAGCACCGGCUAACUCCGUGCCAGCAGCCGCGGUAAUUC